UACGAAGGGGGCGAGCGUUGUUCGGAAUUACUGGGCGUAAAGGGCGCGCAGGCGGCCUUAGAAGUCAGAUGUGAAAGCCCCGGGCUCAACCUGGGAAUGGCAUUUGAUACUCUGAGGCUGGAGUACGGGAGAGGAGAGUGGAAUUCCCAGUGUAGAGGUGAAAUUCGUAGAUAUUGGGAAGAACACCGGUGGCGAAGGCGGCUCUCUGGACCGUAACUGACGCUGAGGCGCGAAGCGUGGGAGCAACAGG
rnacentral:rRNA from 1 species